CAAUAGCGUAUAUUAAAGUUGUUGCAGUUAAAAGCUCGUAGUUGGAUUUCUGGCGGAGUGUCCUCCGGCUGACAGUUCGUUUGGUCCGGAGCGCUCCACCAUCCUUCUGUUAACCGUCACGGGAUUUACUUCCCGAGUCGGGGCGUCAGAUAUUUUACCUUUGAGAAAAUUAAGAGUGUUUCUAAGCAGGCUUCCGCCUUGAAUACAUUAGCAUGGAAUAAUAAGAUAGGACCUCGGUUUUAUUUUGUUGGUUUCUUAGAGCUGAGGUAAUGAUUAAUAGGGAUAGUUGGGGGCGAUUCGUAUUUAACUUGUCAGAGGUGAAAUUACUUGGAUUUGUUAAAGACGGACUACUGCGAAAGCAUUUGCCAAGGAUGUUUUCAUUGAUCAAGAACGAAAGUUAGGGGAGUCGAAGACGAUUAGAUACCGU
rnacentral:rRNA from 1 species